rnacentral:rRNA from 1 species
AUUGAACGCUGGCGGCAGGCCUAACACAUGCAAGUCGAACGAGUGGCGGACGGGUGAGUAAUGUCUGGGACACUGCCCGAUGGAGGGGGAUAACUACUGGAACCGGUAGCUAAUACCGCAUACCAUCGGAUUUGCCCAGAUGGGAUUAGCUAGUAGGUGGGGUAAUGGCUAACCUAGGCGACGAUCCCUAGCUGGUCUGAGAGGAUGACCAGCCAAACGGGAACGGAGACACGGUCAAGACUCCUACGGGAGGCAGCAGUGGGGAAUAUUGCACAAUGGGCGAAAGCCUGAUGAAGCAAUGCCGCGUGUAUGAAGAAGGCCUUCGGGUUGUAAAGUACUUUCAGCGAGGAGGCGUUACUCGCAGAAGAAGCACCGGCUAACUCCGUGCCAGCAGCCGCGGUAAUUC